AGUCGAACGAUGAAACCUUUCGGGGUGGAUUAGUGGCGAACGGGUGAGUAACACGUGGGCAAUCUGCCCUUCACUCUGGGACAAGCCCUGGAAACGGGGUCUAAUACCGGAUAAUACUCCUGCCUGCAUGGGUGGGGGUUGAAAGCUCCGGCGGUGAAGGAUGAGCCCGCGGCCUAUCAGCUUGUUGGUGGGGUAAUGGCCUACCAAGGCGACGACGGGUAGCCGGCCUGAGAGGGCGACCGGCCACACUGGGACUGAGACACGGCCCAGACUCCUACGGGAGGCAGCAGUGGGGAAUAUUGCACAAUGGGCGAAAGCCUGAUGCAGCGACGCCGCGUGAGGGAUGACGGCCUUCGGGUUGUAAACCUCUUUCAGCAGGGAAGAAGCGCAAGUGACGGUACCUGCAGAAGAAGCGCCGGCUAACUACGUGCCAGCAGCCGCGGUAAUACGUAGGGCGCAAGCGUUGUCCGGAAUUAUUGGGCGUAAAGAGCUCGUAGGCGGCUUGUCACGUCGGAUGUGAAAGCCCGGGGCUUAACCCCGGGUCUGCAUUCGAUACGGGCUAGCUAGAGUGUGGUAGGGGAGAUCGGAAUUCCUGGUGUAGCGGUGAAAUGCGCAGAUAUCAGGAGGAACACCGGUGGCGAAGGCGGAUCUCUGGGCCAUUACUGACGCUGAGGAGCGAAAGCGUGGGGAGCGAACAGGAUUAGAUACCCUGGUAGUCCACGCCGU
rnacentral:rRNA from 1 species